GAUGAACGCUGGCGGCGUGCCUAAUACAUGCAAGUCGAGCGAACAGACGAGGAGCUUGCUCCUCUGACGUUAGCGGCGGACGGGUGAGUAACACGUGGAUAACCUACCUAUAAGACUGGGAUAACUUCGGGAAACCGGAGCUAAUACCGGAUAAUAUAUUGAACCGCAUGGUUCAAUAGUGAAAGACGGUUUUGCUGUCACUUAUAGAUGGAUCCGCGCCGCAUUAGCUAGUUGGUAAGGUAACGGCUUACCAAGGCAACGAUGCGUAGCCGACCUGAGAGGGUGAUCCGCCACACUGGAACUGAGACACGGUCCAGGAUCCUACGGGAGGGCGCAGUAGGGAAUCUUCCGGAAUGGGCGGAAGCCUGACGGAGGAAAGGCGGGGGGAUGAAGAAGGUCUUCGGAUCGUAAAACUCUGGUAUUAGGGAAGAACAAAUGGGUAAGUAACUAUGCACGUCUUGACGGUACCUAAUCAGAAAGCCACGGCUAACUACGUG
rnacentral:rRNA from 1 species